rnacentral:lncRNA from 1 species
AUGACUUGAUUUGAUCAUGUUGAUUUCACCAAUCAAGAUAUUGGACUAAUCGUAAUGUUGGAUUGUGUCAUCUGAUCAAUUCGAAUUGUACCUCAUAAAUUUUCUCUCCUCUGAUUUUCUCUCUCUACUUGAUUUUUAUGAAAUCAAUGAAGAAAUCUCGAUCCUAUCACUUCGAAUCUGAUUUGAUCCGAUAGUCAAACUUUGGAUCAUUUAUAUCCUAAUUAGAUUUUGAUUAGAUGAAAUUAGAUAAUCGAACCCAAUCUAAAUCAUUGAAAUAUGAUAUUCGUAUUCUUUCUGAUUAUUGAAUUUGAUCUCGUAUAGGUAUCAUUGACCCCUGAUAAUCGGAUAUUGUGA